ACACCGGUCCUUUUUAGGGCCACUACAUGGUAUAUUACAAAUCUGA
rfam:Harpegnathos saltator strain R22 G/1 HarSal_1.0_2.contig2855, whole genome shotgun sequence.